rnacentral:lncRNA from 1 species
UUUUUCUCUGCCUUCCCAAAAGAAGACCUAACGACAACAAUUUUAGCAAUCUGUGACGAAACGCUUUCUCCCACAAUAAUCAUCAAUCUUCCUUCAUUAAUUUUCCAGAGGUGUCCUCUUCACCUUCUUGAGCUUCCCACUAUAAAAUUCACUCCGCAUACAAGAAUAAGUAUCAGCUAUCGCAUCCAUGGCUAACAAGAUAUCAAAAUCAACGACGACAGAACCCUCCAUUGAGGUCUUUAACGACGUUGCUACGGGUAGGGAGAGACCAGGAAUCAUCUCAACCACAUCCAUUUUUAGGGAGAUUGCACACGGCAGGCGGAAGUGUCUGAUUGCUGUAGAGAUGCUGCUCAUCUACGAACAGGUAGUGAUUCUAUUUUCUAUUCCUAUAUUAUCCCUAU